GCGGCUCACUUUUGGCAUUGCUUGACAACACUUUGAGGCAGGAUAAAAAGCUCCAGGAACAAUUUCUUUAGAGUAUCUUUUCUAAUCACCUUUCCAUUAAUACAACCUGGACUGGUGUAGGGAAUAAAGCAUGUUUUAGAGACCUGUUCCUGAAGACCAUUGUUCAAAGAGCCUUCUGGAAGGACCAGGCAACCCAGGAUGUCACUGAUGGUGCUGUCCAGGUUAAUUUCACGCGUUACCUGAAAGGAGCAUCUGACCGUGAAGGCGGAAAAAGUCAGCACACAGCUAAGAGGGACCCACAGAUGACCCCUUAAACCGAGGCUGACUACUGACACCCAUGGGCGAGGCUAGCCCCUUUUUAGGGGUGCUUCAGCACCCCUAAAAAUGAGCUCAGCACCCCUAAAACUUGGAGCACGAAAUGUAUUUAAUCUAAUGUUCGUUCGUCUUUGACAAGGUUAAAUAAUGUCCAAAACAUACUCCGUAGUUUGUAGUUUAAAUGUAUAUGUUAAGUUAGAAAAUGAAAACCUCCCCGCUUAGCAAAUGGUGUCAUCCUCCUCUUUUACUUCUCUGUACCUGCAUCGACCAUCAUUCAGCGCGAGACACGCGCACAGUGAGAAUCAGUUAAAAGUGUUGUGAUGCAACUUUUUUUGUUCAAAUCUUACAAUCUUACGUUAAUGAGCGAGUACAUCACGAAUCAAUCUUUCAAGCCGUGUUUUUGUCUUAUACUGAAUCACCAUGGUACACGUAUAAUAAGUGUUUAUUUUCGGAUUAUUUUAGUGCGGCGGGUACCCGCGCGCUGCGGAAUAGCACAGUACCUGGGUGACUCGUCCAUAGACUUAAACGGAGAGAAGUAGCGCCGGUUACAAUGUUCUUCCGCAAGACGCAUGCAGUUUUGUGCGUCUCAGUGGGUAGUUGCAUACGUGUGUCUCCGUUGUUAAAGUUUAUUGUAUGAUUUAUCGUUAAUUUGAGACUUAUUUUAACAAUCGGGAGUCAUGUAAACAUGACGUCACGUGCGUCUUUUCUGGUCAGUCGUCAUGAAAACAUGGUGUUUGGAACAGAGUGAAAACAAACUACAUAUCACUGUAUACCACAAGUACCGGUAAGUUAUGUUUGAAAUAACUGUCUGACUAUCAAACUAGACAAUAAAUAUUUUUUUAGAUUGUCACAUGUAGAUUAAUAUGAAGGGGAUAACGUUUUUAACCCUUGGUGCAGGAGUCACAAGUGUUUUGUUUUAGACAUAAUAGUAAAGGUAAUGGUUAAAUUAA